GAUGAACGCUGGCGGCGUGCCUAAUACAUGCAAGUCGAGCGAAUGGAUUAAGAGCUUGCUCUUAUGAAGUUAGCGGCGGACGGGUGAGUAACACGUGGGUAACCUGCCCAUAAGACUGGGAUAACUCCGGGAAACCGGGGCUAAUACCGGAUAACAUUUUGAACCGCAUGGUUCGAAAUUGAAAAGCGGCUUCGGCUGUCACUUAUGGAUGGACCCGCGUCGCAUUAGCUAGUUGGUGAGGUAACGGCUCACCAAGGCAACGAUGCGUAGCCGACCUGAGAGGGUGAUCGGCCACACUGGGACUGAGACACGGCCCAGACUCCGACGGGAGGCAGCAGUAGGGAAUCUUCCGCAAUGGACGAAAGUCUGACGGAGCAACGCCGCGUGAGUGAUGAAGGCUUUCGGGUCGUAAAACUCUGUUGUUAGGGAAGAACAAGUGCUAGUUGAAUAAGCUGACACCUUGACGGUACCUAACCAGAAAGCCACGGCUAACUACGUGCCAGCAGCCGCCGCAG
rnacentral:rRNA from 1 species